GCAGAGCCGAACCCAGUGUUUUGAGUUUGCUCUUAUAGCAAAUAAUGAAAGAAAAAUAAGGUGAAGCGGGGAUGCGGCUAGGUGCGAUGGCUGGAGCUUGCUAGGGUUUCUGAUCUUGUUUCGAUUUUGGGCCAAAAUUGUACUGGGCCUCGACCAUAUGGGCCUAUUGUAAUUUGGGCCUUUUGCCCGGGCCAAAAUCGGGUAUUACAAUAAUAGUUCUCAGUUUUUUUUGGCCUCUACUGACUGCGAUUGUCACCCCAAAUGCAUGAUUUGUGUGUAAGGGUCUAUUAAAAAACUAACCUGGGGUCUGUUCAGCAUAUAUUGUUUACAACUUGCUUGCUUGAGUUGCGCUGCUGCCCUUACUGGUAGUGAUUUAUUUUGCAGGUAAUUUAGGGUGGCAGUACAUGGUCAGUACACUUUGACUGAUAUAUAUAUAUAAGAAAAUUGUAGACAUAUAUGGCGUUUCAGAACAGUAGAGAUUUGCAUUUUGUUUGAGUUUGGAUUGUGAAGUAGAGAUGAUUGAGUGAGCUCAUAAUAAUCCAAAUUCCACAUGCUCUUCGCUUUGCUUUGUUCGGCCUUUUUAUUAUAUACUCUUAUUUCUUUUAUUCAUAUAAACUAAUUGUUUGCUACAUGUUACUUCAAAAGAAACAAAUUAUAGGCAAGUAUAAAUCUAAAUCCAUGUUCCC